rnacentral:ncRNA from 1 species
ACCUCAUCCAGAGGGGCUGAGGGAUACGGCCCGACGACGCCCCGGCAACCACCCGCACGCUCGAUGACGAGCCGGCGCGGGCAGGUGCCAAUUCCGUCCCCGCCGCAGGGUGCGAUGCGGGGAAAGAUGAGAG